rnacentral:misc_RNA from 1 species
CUGUUCGACUGCAUUGGCCCCACCAUGGUUUCUCGCAAAAACUCGAGUUCUGCGUCAAAGUCGCCGUCGCCCCGUCGACGUCGCGUCAAUGCGUCCUUGUCGACGGCACAGAGCCCAACCGCGGGUGCCUUCAUCACUGCGAACCUCACGCAUGAGCAGAAGGUACAGCUCUCUCGCAAGCAAGCGAACUGCGAGCACGCUAAGCCGUACAACAACGAUUCAACACUGCCACUCUACGCGAUCGAGGAUGUUCCCAUGUACCUACGUGAUAACUGCUACAUUCUGCGCGGGUAUCGCGCCUACUACACGUGGAAGCAGUGCAUCACGAGCCUACUCCGGAUGCACAACGAGACGGUCAACAUUUGGACGCACCUGCUUGGCGCCUUCUUUUUCUUGGGGCUGAUGGUACAGUUGUUUACCCAGCACAUCAUUCCAGAUUAUCGCGCCGGCAACGUGCUUCACCACGCGAACCGCACGGCACGGCCGGUUCCUGUUAGAAACGCGCGCACCGCGUGGCCAUUUAUCAUCUUCGGGACUUUCUCGUUGGCGUGUGUCAUGUGCAUGCUGUGCAGUGCGUGCUUUCACACAUUUCUGUGCCAUAUGAGCGAGGAUUUCUACCAUCGCAUGCACGCACUUGACUACUACGGCAUCACGUUUCUCGUUGUCGGCUCGUUUCUGCCCUUCUGCUUCUACGCCAUGAGCUGUGCCCCGGAGUGGCGCAACGCGUACCUGUCGAUGAUUGGCUCCUUCGGGCUGGCGGGCUUCAUUGGGCCCUUUUUCCGCCACUGGACCUCUGAGGCGUUUGCGACGAAGAAGAUCAUCUUUUACGUCUGCAUGGUUGGCUCGGGGAUUAUCCCCACGAUUCACUUGUCGCAGAUGAUCCCGCUACACAUCAGCGGCCCGUAUGUGAAGGGAUUGCUGACUAUGUUGGCUCUCUACGGCGUAGGCGUCUUCAUUUACGCCUUCCGCAUUCCAGAGGCACUGUCGCCUGGCACCUUCGACUUCUACUUCUCUAGCCAUCAGAUAUGGCACCUCUGCGUGCUGGGGGCAGCCACAACGCACUUCUACAACUGCGUCGCCAUGUACCUCAGUCGUGAAACGAUCGUGUGCGUGUAGGGAGGAAGGUGCUGUAGAAGACGUCAGCAAGGGUGCGCCGCGAGCUGGCGUUUGAGAUGAUGGAGGGGUGUACAUUCGCCAGCUCCCUGUGCUGCGCUGUCUCUCUACUGACGAGCACAUUUGUUUGCUGCCCUCUUUCGUUCCACAUCCUGUGCUGGCUCCUUUUUGUUCGCUCCUCUUUUCUGCCUUCGACAAGGCCGUAUGCAGCACCUGCCCCGCCAUCUCUCUCUCUCUUGCAAAGAAGAGGUUGAGCUACUCUACGGUCGCUCGGUGUUUCCUCGCGCGCGUGUGUGUGUGUGUGUUAUUGUUAGUUUCCUAGAUCUGUGCUACCGCUCUGCUUUCCAUGUUUUCGCACCUGUCUCCACCGCAAACGCUUUCACAACGCAUUUCGUUUUGGUGCUGCUUUUGGUUGGCACGUUCUCGUCUGCUAACAUAAGCGUGUUGCGCGUGCCUGAUCUGUGUGCGCCAUGAUGCCUUCUUUCCUUGUUGUUGUUGCCUAUUGCCGUCCCUCUGCUAUGUCGUGAGCUGAUCCGCUUACUUGGAAUUCCGCCCAUCUCCCAUCCCACCCCAGCCACUGCGAUGAGCGAUAGAACUCUCUUGCUAAGCGACGCUCUUCUUGAGAACAGGAGUGCGAGGCGGUGGGGCAUCAUGCGUUGCUUUUCCGACUUUUUUUUCUCUCGCUUCGUUGCUCGGUGUUGUCGCCGUGUGAAUGCCCUUGUCGUUAUUAUGCUUCCCUUUUGCUUGUGCGUUGUUAAUUGCUUGGUUGUUGCGCAGCGCGUUGAGGCACAGUCUCGUGGGACGAAGGUGAUGAGGCGACAGCAGCGCGCUCUUGUCUUUUGCUUAUGG